rnacentral:tRNA from 1 species
GCCCGAGUAGCUCAGCCUGGAUAGAGCACCUGCCUUCUAAGCAGGUGGUCGAGGGUUCAAAUCCCUUCUCGGGCG